rnacentral:rRNA from 1 species
AAAGGAAUAGACGGGACCCCGCACAAGCGGUGGAGCAUGUUGUUUAAUUCGAAGAUACGCGAAGAACCUUACCAGGUCUUGACAUCCUCUACAAAGCUAUAGAGAUAUAGUGGAGGUUUGAAGAGUGACAGGUGGUGCAUGGUUGUCGUCAGCUCGUGUCGUGAGAUGUUGGGUUAAGUCCCGCAACGAGCGCAACCCCUAUUGCUAGUUACCAUCAUUAAGUUGGGGACUCUAGCGAGACCGCCGGUGAUAAACCGGAGGAAGGUGGGGAUGACGUCAAAUCAUCAUGCCCCUUAUGACCUGGGCUACAAACGUGCUACAAUGGCCACUACAAAGAGCAGCAAGACCGUGAGGUGGAGCUAAACUGAAAAAGGUGGUCUCAGUUCGGAUUGAAGUCUGCAACUCGACUUCAUGAAGUAGGAAUCGCUAGUAAUCGUGAAUCAGAAUGUCACGGUGAAUACGUUCUCGGGGUUUGUACACACCGCCCGU